AUUGCUUCUCGAUCUUUUGGCUAAGAUCAAGUGUAGUAUCUGUUCUUAUCAGUUUAAUAUCUAAUACGUCAUCUAUUCGACAACAAUAUAUUAAAUGGAUUUUUGGCACUAAGAACUGGAAUAGGAGCUUGCUCCGUCCAUUCCACGCAUCAACCUGGUAUUGCAGUACCUCCAGGAACGCUGCACCCCCC